UACGAAGGGGGCUAGCGUUGCUCGGAAUGACUGGGCGUAAAGGGCGCGUAGGCGGCCAACUAAGUCAGACGUGAAAUCCCUCGGCUCAACCGGGGAACUGCGUCUGAUACUGGAUGGCUUGAAUUCGGGAGAGGGAUGCGGAAUUCCAGGUGUAGCGGUGAAAUGCGUAGAUAUCUGGAGGAACACCGGUGGCGAAGGCGGCAUCCUGGACCGAGAUUGACGCUGAUGCGCGAAAGCCAGGGGAGCAAACGGG
rnacentral:rRNA from 1 species